CGCGGUAUUUUGACCGUGCUAAGGUAGCAUAAUCAAUUGUUUUUUAAUUGAAAACUAGUAUGAACGGUUUAAUUUACUUAAUUAGUUUGUAAUUUUUAAUAGUAAGUUAAAUAUAAAGUAAGAAUUCUUUAAUAAAUUAGGGGACGAUAAGACCCUAAAAGCUUUAUGAUUGGCAUUUAAUUAGUGAUAGCGGUGUUAUUAAUUCACUGGGGCAGUGAGUUUAGGUAUAUUUAAGUAUAAUUAAAAGCUCCUUUAAAUAAAGAUUUCAUGUAUAAGUUACUUUAGGGAUAACAGUGCAAUAUAUUUGGGGAGACCAUAUCUAUAAAUAUGAUUGCAACCUCGAUGU
rnacentral:rRNA from 1 species